rnacentral:rRNA from 1 species
GAAAGCGGCGGACGGGUGAGUAACGCGUGAGUAACCUGCCUCAUACACAGGGAUAGCCAUUGGAAACGAUGAUUAAUACCUGAUAAGACUACAGAUUCACAUGGAUCAGUGGUAAAAGCUCCGGCGGUAUGGGAUGGACUCGCGUCUGAUUAGCUAGUUGGUGAGGUAACGGCUCACCAAGGCGACGAUCAGUAGCCGACCUGAGAGGGUGAUCGGCCACACUGGAGCUGAGACACGGUCCAGACUCCUACGGGAGGCAGCAGUGGGGAAUAUUGCACAAUGGGCGCAAGCCUGAUGCAGCAACGCCGCGUGAGUGAUGAAGGCUUUCGGGUCGUAAAACUCUGUCCUCAAGGAAGAUAAUGACGGUACUUGAGGAGGAAGCCCCGGCUAACUACGUGCCAGCAGCCGCGGUAAUACGUAGGGGGCAAGCGUUAUCCGGAAUCACUGGGCGUAAAGGGUGCGUAGGCGGUUAAGCAAGUCANAAGUGAAAGCCAGUGGCUCAACCAUUGUAAGCUUUUGAAACUGUUUAACUUGAGUGCAGGAGAGGAAAGUGGAAUUCCUAGUGUAGCGGUGAAAUGCGUAGAUAUUAGGAGGAACACCAGUGGCGAAGGCGACUUUCUGGACUGUAA